rnacentral:misc_RNA from 1 species
UGAUGAUUACUUAAAAGGAAUCGAACAAUAAAGAUGUUAUGUAGAUCUUCAAAUACAUGUGAUGAGAAUCAUUACAAACAGUAGUGAAGCAUAAAAUGAAUAAAUAUAUUCAGAAGUAGCCCAAAUGCAAAACUAGCACAAGAUGUAUAUACAUAAUUCUCGAAAAGGAAAAAGAAAGGGCAUGUAGUUAUGUGCUUUUGUAAAAUAAGAUUCUUUUAAAA